rnacentral:rRNA from 1 species
UGCGUAGGCGGGCUAAUAAGUCAGUGGUGAAAUCUUCCGGCUCAACCGGGAACCUGCCAUUGAUACUGUUAGUCUUGAGUUCGGUUGAGGUAGGCGGAAUGUGUAAUGUAGCGGUGAAAUGCUUAGAUAUUACACAGAACACCAAUUGCGUAGGCAGCUUACUAGACCGACACUGACGCUGAGGCACGAAAGCGUGGGGAGCGAACAGGAUUAGUUACCCUGGUAGUCC